GGUUCCUACCCGCGAGGCACGAGCGCGAGCCCUGAGAGCCUUUGCGGCUGGUGCUGUACGUGGAGAAACUUGUCAGUUUUAGUAAAUCCCGUUAAUGGUAGCAAUCACUGAGGCUGAAACUCCAGGAGACAAGGCACGGACCCCCUGGAAUGCGGAUUCUAGCAUGCCGACACUUGCUGUGAGCUGUGAAACUCCAAGACCGUGUUAAUAAAACCAACCCUGGAUCACCGGGCGGAGCCAGUGACCUGAGGACAGGAAUGAGCCUUGGAGAGCACGGAGGAGCCAAGAUUUCAGAGAGCGAGGAAGGAGUACGGAGGGACUUGGAGAUUCAGGGUCUUCCUGGUUUGGGACGAGUGGAGAGCGGCAGCUCUUGCUGGGUCUCCAGCCCAAAAGGAAGGUCAGCGGGCUGUGUUUCGGCUUCUCUGACCUAGCAGGUUUCCACCCCAACAUCUGAUUCCCGAUUCUUUAUUGCCACUUCUCCCGCCGUUGUCCUCCUGCUUGAGCGACUUCUGCUGCCGCCGCCACCGGGAACCCCAGCCCCGAACCCCAGCCUCGAAUGCCUCAAAGUUCCUCAGCCACAAACAUCACAGCAGAUUUGGAGAAUGAAGGCAACCAGCUAAGUAAGGAACCUGAAGACCACUGGGCAAAUGAGACAUCCGAAGAAAAAGGAAGAAUCAAUAAGAGAAAGUGGCCCAAGAAAAAGAGUAAAUUGACCUAAUGGUGCAUCACACCUCCAACAGGGUGGAAUUUCAUCAUUUUUCCCUAAUGCUUGUUUUUGCUGCUCUCCACAAACACAAAAGGCAAAUGAUCUUUUUGUGGUCCCAAUUAAACUAAAAUUCAAAGCUGGCUUUGGAGUUGGAGCAUGGCUCUCCUCUUCUCUAAACCCAAGCAGGCUUGUUAAAGAAAAAUCCAAAAUCUCUGUCUCAUGUCAGAAGAGCCACCUGGUAUGGGACAGAAGACAGCCAAAAUUAAGGGACUUUUCUAUGGUCACUAAUCUCAUAAUCCUUUGGUUUUGUUUUGACUCUUUAAAACUUUUCUUAAGAUAUAUCAUCUCAAAAUUUGUAGGAUUAUAUAUAAUAUAUAUCAUACAUAUAGUAUGUAAUAGAUAGUUAUAUAAUAUAUAAUCCUAUACACUUAUAUAACUAUCAUAUAUAAAAUCUGUCAGGAUAUCAGUGGUCAUACAGAGUACUAACUAA
rnacentral:lncRNA from 1 species